CUCAGCCUCCAAAAGUGUUAGGAUUACAGGCGUGAGCUAUCGUGCCCAGCCGCAGAUGGGUUGUAGUUUUAAACAGGGUAGUCACGGUGACCUCAUUGAAAAGUUCAAGAGGAGCUAGUCAACAAAGGGAAAGUUUGGACUUAUCAGAAGUGUCUGAAGUAGAGUCUAAUUAUGGUGCCACUGAAGAGGAUUUAAUAACAUCUGCAUCAAAAACAGAAGAGACCUUGUCAAAAAAGAGAGUACCAGUCUUCCUCCUGUGUCUCAUCCACAUCCUCUUCCUAUUCUUCCUCUUCUGAAUCCAGAUUUUCUGAAUCUAUUGGUGAGCCGAAGAACUAUAAU
rnacentral:lncRNA from 1 species